rnacentral:rRNA from 1 species
UGUGGCAGUGAUCAUUUUCGAUAACAUCUGACAUCUCCUUUAGAGUGGAUCAGUGAAUGAAUUGCUGAAAUUGGAUGAAACAUGAGUACGCGGUUUCAGGUGAUCAGCAGAUCCAGACGCAGUGUAUCAGAUAUAAUGGGCGUGAAUUCGCCUGAAAAUGGUGGGAUGUAGCGACUGUACUCAGGCCGAAUGGAGCUGGCAGACUGGAAUCAUGCGAUGUGGAAAUUCCAGUAUCUGGUUCGGGUAAUCGACUUUUGGAAGUCGCCAGGACCUGGUGAAUACUGCAUUGGCAGUCAUCACUUGAGGCUGGCCUGACCGGGCAAUGAUCAGGUGCAUCCUGGGACAGGCAGCAUUGUGAAUCAGAAGGAAGCGGCAGGUUCUGCGACUGGUUGUUCGAAGCGCAGGUUCUAUUAUCAGAAAUGGUCAGACUGGACAGACUGGACAGUAAUGCCAGUGAUAAACCAGUUUUGAGUAGAAGAUUGAGCAUCGUUGUUUCUCUCUGAUAGAUAAAUUUCGGUCAGGGAGCUUUGUUGAAAGAACGUAUUCCCUGAUGUCUGUCAGCUACUACGUGUUUAAUGUGUGAACCGUUGGAAAACUGUUUCCGGGUGGAUAACAGCUGAAAGCGAACCAGUUCGCAGGUGGUGUGUCUUUUUACCAUGAAGAAAAUGUAAUUUUUUGUAAAACUAGUGUCGAAAGAGACUUUACAGCAACAACAUAAGAAGACAGAAUACGCGUCCUCUUAUUGGGGCGUAUAGCUCAGUUGGUUAGAGCGCAGCUCUGAUAAAGCUGAGGUCCGUGGUUCGAAUCCACGUACGCCCAUUUUUUUCUUCUCUAAGAGGGACUCCAGGUUUUGUAGCUUUUUUAGUUGCAUGCCUGGGGUUUGCCAGCAAUAGUAUUGUUGGCACUGUUAGGGGACGUAGCUCAACUGGGAGAGCGCCGCCCUUGCAAGGCGGAGGUUGCCGGUUCGAUCCCGGUCGUCUCCAUUGUGUUUUCGGGAAGUGAAGUGACCUGUGCCUUUUAGAGGUUCUAAAUCAGGUCCCAAGUCUUUCUGGAAAACUUCCAGGGAAUUUUUCUCCCCUGGGUUGACGGGUGGUUUCUGACUGGUUAAGAUCCCGCUCCGCUAUUUGUUCUUGGCAGGUUUGUUGAGGGCAAGUGGUUGUCACAAAAGGUUUUGUGACAAAAAAACUUUCAGAGAAUUUAAUCUCUCUGGCUUGACGAGUGGUUUCUGACUGGUUAGGAUUCUGCUCCUUCACUUGUUCUUAACAAAUCUUGUUGAGUGCAAGUGGUUGUCGCAAAGCAGUUUGUGGCAAGAAAGUGUUUGAGAGGUUUUGAAAAAAGUUUUCAGAUUUGUUUCUCGGACGGUUGACUUUCUGAGAGACGACGAUAAGAUGACUCUCUCAGCUGACUUAAGUCGAUUGAAUCGAAUUCAGCAGUGCUGGUUUUGAUUCAGCUGAUUUUGGUUGGCUGUUUUUCUCUGGGGAUAACCCUGAGGAUCAACGAUCUUUGACAAUUUGGUAAAAGUAAUAAGUGGCAUCUAUAAACAUAGAGUUCUCAAGUUGCAAUACCAAUUCUUAGGAAUUGUAUUGCUACCGAGAUUUUGUUCUUAGGCAAAUCGACUCAAGUGCAAGGUUGUUAUGCAAGACCUUGUGAAUUGAGAUCGGGUUGUAAUGUUUUUGGCUCCCGCUGGCCAAUGUGGUCUUUGUGAGGUAAAAAUUAUUACGGCUAAGCUAUUAAGGGCGUAUGGGGGAUGUCUUGGCAUCAGAUGGCGAUGAAGGGCGUGGAAGACUGCGAUAAUCUUGGGGAAGUUGUCAAACGAGCGUUGAUCCCGAGGUUCCUGAAUUAUCAUAUACUGAAUACAUAGGUAUAUGAGGCACACGCGGUGAACUGAAACAUCUCAGUAACCGCAGGAAAGGAAAGCAACAGCGACUUCGUGAGUAGCGGCGAGCGAAAGCGAAUCUAGCCUAAACCGUCUUGCUUCGGCAUGGCGGGGUUGUGGGGCUUGUCAUUGUGGAGUUACAAAACUGUUUGCUAGAAGAAUUCGUUGGAAAGCGAAACCAUAGAGGGUGACAGUCCCGUAUUUGAAAGUGAAUAGACUUCCGACAGGUACCCGAGUAGGUCCGGCCACGUGGAAUCCGGACUGAAUCUGGGAGGUCCAUCUCCUAAGGCUAAGUAUUCUCUGAUGACCGAUAGUGAAAAGUAGGGUGACCGAAAGAUGAAAAGAACCCCUGUUAGGGGAGGGAAAGAACCUGAAACCAUACGCUUACAAGCUGUCGGAGCACUAUUAUCUUCGGAUAAGUGUGACGGCGUGCCUUUUGCAUAAUGAUCCGGCGAGUUACCGUCAAUGGCUCGAUUAAGGCCUUCCGGGCCGAAGUCUCAGCGAAAGCGAGUCUGAAUAGGGCGUUUUGUCAGUGGCGGUAGACGCGAAACCAGGUGAACUACCCAUGAGCAGGUUGAAGCGCGGGUAAGACUGCGUGGAGGACCGAACCCACCUAGGUUGAAA